rnacentral:rRNA from 1 species
AGGGAGGGUGCGAGCGUUAAUCGGAAUCACUGGGCGUAAAGCGCGCGUAGGCGGCUUUGUAAGUCGGAUGUGAAAUCCCCGAGCUUAACUUGGGAAUUGCAUUCGAUACUGGGAAGCUAGAGUAUGGGAGAGGAUGGUAGAAUUCCAGGUGUAGCGGUGAAAUGCGUAGAGAUCUGGAGGAAUACCGAUGGCGAAGGCAGCCAUCUGGCCUAAUACUGACGCUGAGGUACGAAAGCAUGGGGAGCAAACAG